rnacentral:misc_RNA from 1 species
GUGAAUCAUCAAAUUUUUGAACGCAAAUUGCACUCUCUGGUAUUCCGGAGAGUAUGCCUGUUUGAGGGUCAGUUAAAUAAAAAUCGGUGUGGUUGCUGCCCUUCGUGGUGACGCACCGGGUUUGGGUUGUCUUGCCUUUGGGUAAGUGACCCUAAAUUUUUGAUGAAUUUUUUUCAACGUAUUUUAAAGAAUUUAAGUACGGUUGCGG